GCAAGUCGAGGGGCAUCGAGAGAGUAGCAAUUACUUUUGUCGGCGACCGGCGGACGGGUGCGUAACGCGUAUGCAACCUACCUUAUACAGGGGGGAUAACCUUUUCGGAAAAGGGAGACUAAUACCGGCAUAACAUUACUUUUGAGGCAUCUUGAGGUAAUUAAAUCUUCGGAGGUAUAAGAUGGGCAUGCGUAGCAUUAGCUAGAUGGUGCGGUAACGGCGUACCAUGGCGACGAUGCUUAGGGGUUCUGAGAGGAAGGUCCCCCACACUGGUACUGAGAUACGGACCAGACUCCUACGGGAGGCAGCAGUGAGGAAUAUUGGUCAAUGGUCGGAAGACUGAACCAGCCAUGCCGCGUGCAGGAAGAAUGUCUUAUGGAUUGUAAACUGCUUUUGUAUGGGAAUAAUAAUAGCUUUGCGAAGUUAGAUGCAUGUACCAUACGAAUAAGGAUCGGCUAACUCCGUG
rnacentral:rRNA from 1 species